AGCUAAAUGUCCAGUGAUUUGUAACUAUAUCACAGUAUGUAUAUCCAUGCCAUGGAUACUACUCAACAAUAAAAAAGAAACUGCUGACAAACCCAAGGUGGGUAAAUAUCAAGAUAAUUAUGCCAAGUCAAAAAUAAAGUAAAAAGUCCAGGUGGGAUCAUUCCGUGAUAUUAUGCAAAGUUCUAGAAAAUGCAAACUAACCCAUAGGGAUAGAAAGCAGAUCAGCGGCUGCCUGAGGAGGGAGGGUGUACUAUGAAGGAGGACAAGGAGGUUUUGGGGGUGGUGGGUAUAUUCCAGGAUGUUGAUUUUGGUGAUGGCAGCAUAUGCCAAAGCUCAUCAAAUUCUACUUUAAAUAGGUGCAGUUUAUCCUAGAUUGAGUAUACUUUAGUGAAGCUGAAAAUACUUCCCUGAUCUAAAAAAGAAGACAAAAACACCUAAAGAAAGAAGCCAACCGGGCUGACGGUCCUCCAGAAAUGGCAGCGAAGAGAGACCCACUGCGAGACGAAUCCUGGCAGACACCGACAGUGACUUCAGACUUUUCCUCUGUCAUACUACUUGCCUCAAGACAAAGGAGCCACAGAGGUUCUGAAGGAAGACAGAGCUGAAUUCCAGCAAUUUCUUAUUCCCUCAAGCUGUCUUUCACAGGUGAAGACGCUGACAAAGUAAGACCAUUCACGUCCCUUUCUCUGAAAGAAAUACAUUCAAACAUGCGCCAAAGGAUUGGAAGUUAAGACUUAAGAGUGGGGAAGAAAGCAGAACAAAGGACCUGCGUUUUUUCUUUCCCUCUAGAAAUGGAGCCUGAGGAAAUAACUGGAAAUGUGGGAAAAGACUUACUGAAGAUAAAAACAGGCAAAUAACCUUAGCGACAUUUUCGGAGGGCUUCCCCUUCACAUGCAUCACGUAACCCCCACCCGAAUCCUACAACUGGGCGCUGAGAUCAUCUCUGUUUGACAGAUGGCCUCGGAAAGGCUCAGCAGCUUGCCUGGGGGGUUGGGGGGACACAGCUUGGAUUUGAACCCUGACGGGGAAAACUACAAAAUUCAGCUCAGAAUCGUGACGCUCUACUCAAACACCAGAACGUUAGGUUAUAAAUAUGACAUAAUUUAUGGAACAUUAUAAAGUCUCUGAUUCAAAAUACUUUGCAGAUAUAAAAUGAUGUUUACAGGUUUUCUGGGUGGAACUGGGGGAGGGUGCUGACCAUGUUAUUGGGAGCGUGAACUCAGCUGCAGGAGAGGCGUGGAUGCAUCCUUGCAGCUGUGUUUGUCAGAGCAGUGAAUUGGGAAAAUGUUCAUUUUAAUACCGAACUAGGACAGAAGAAGGAAAAUGCCAGACUUUUUCUAUCACCACAGCCAAAUCUCAAAGACUCAGUUGUUUGAUCAAAAUGAAACACAACAAACCCUGAGUAGGAAACAACCCUACACGCAUUAUUUCUGUGGGUACCCAUAUACGUAACAGGCACCCAAGAACCAAAGGGACCUGAAAGGACACAUCAGAUCACAGCAGAGAUGGCCCUGGGCUGGUGGCAGGGCUGGGAUCACAGUGUGGACCACGGACGUCUGAGCUGCGAGUGUGGAUCCCCCUCUCCGUUCAUAUAUUUUUAUGUGUUAAUUUUUUCUAAUGGGAAGUUCUUCUUCUUUUUAUCAGUAAAAGGAAGACGGCAGAGACCAGAAGUUGCCGGGAGUGUUAGCUGAGCAAACGUAUACGAAAGCAAACAGCACAGCCCUCUGUGCUAAAGGAACAUCUUGUUUUCCAGCUAACCUGCCUGCUGGUGGACAAGGACCAGAGAGAGAACAUGCUGUUUUGCCGAAAUCAUGCAAAGCACCAACCAAAUGUACGGAUUUGUUCAUUUUCCAUUCAAGCAACUCGUGUGCCAUGAUCAAUACAACUUCAGC